AGUAACAGGACUAUGGUGAUGUUUAAGGUAAUGUUAUACAGUAACAUCACUAUGGUAAUGUCUAAGGUAAUGUUAUACAGUAACAGGACUAUGGUGAUGUCUAAGGUAAUGUUAUUCAGUAGCAGGACUAUGGUGAUGUUUAAGGUAAUGUUAUACAGUAACAUCACUAUAGUGAUAUCUAAGGUAAUGUUAUUCAGUAGCAGGACUAUGGUGAUGUCUAAGGUACCUCCAUUCCCUCCUCAGGUGUGAUGCCUAAGGUAAUGUUAUUCAGUAGCAGGACUAUGGUGAUGUUUAAGGUAAUGUUAUACAGUAACAUCACUAUGGUGAUGUCUAAGGUCAUGUUAUACAGUAACAUCACUAUAGUGAUGUCUAAGGUAAUGUUAUUCAGUAGCAGGUCUAUGGUGAUGUCUAAGGUAAUGUUAUACAGUAACAUCACUAUAGUGAUAUCUAAGGUAAUGUUAUUCAGUAGCAGGACUAUGGUGAUGUCUAAGGUACCUCCAUUCCCUCCUCAGGUGUGAUGCCUAAGGUAAUGUUAUUCAGUAGCAGGACUAUGGUGAUGUUUAAGGUAAUGUUAUACAGUAACAUCACUAUAGUGAUGUCUAAGGUAAUGUUAUUCAGUAACAGGACUAUGGUGAUGUCUAAGGCAAUGUUAUACAGUAACAUCACUAUAGUGAUGUCUAAGGUAAUGUUAUUCAGUAGCAGGACUAUGGUAAUGUCUAAGGUAAUGUUAUACAGUAACAUCACUAUAGUGAUACCUAAGGUAAUGUUAUUCAGUAACAGGACUAUGGUAAUGUCUAAGGUAAUGUUAUUCAGUAACAUCACUAUAGUGAUAUCUAAGGUAAUGUUAUACAGUAACAGGACUAUGGUAAUGUCUAAGGUAAUGUUAUUCAGUAACAUCACUAUAGUGAUAUCUAAGGUAAUGUUAUUCAGUAGCAGGACUAUGGUGAUGUUUAAGGUACCUCCAUUCCCUCCUCAGGUGUGAUGCCUAAGGUAAUGUUAUUCAGUAACAGGACUAUGGUGUUGUUUAAGGUAAUGUUAUACAGUAACAUCACUAUAGUGAUAUCUAAGGUAAUGUUAUACAGUAACAGGACUAUGGUGAUGUCUAAGGUAAUGUUAUACAGUAACAU